ACUCUGGGUAGGUGACCCUGCAGCAGGCUGAGCAAGCCUUGAGUGAGCAAGCCAGUAGCAGCAUUCCUCCACGGUCUCUGCUUCUGUUCCUGCCUCCAGACUCAUCCAAGGGCGUCAGUGCCCCAGGCUGCUCUGUCCUGUGUAUCGCCUGCUCAGCAUUGCCCAGGUGUGUUCCUGCAGUGUUGCCAAGGGACUACUUCAGACAAUGACAUAUUCCUUGAAAUCAGGGUCGUCAGAAGAAGACUUGGAUGACCUUUGAGCAGUGGAUUUAAGUGGUCUUGACUUCAUUACCUGAGCAACAGGACUGCACUUCAUGGAGCAGCAAAUGAAGUCACAGUGAGCUCACUGCU